GUCGCGUCGCGCUGGAAGCAGGCUGCAGCCGCUCGUGCACCCAGUCGCGCCCCUCGCCCGCGGUGGCUCGUGCAGCUCCUUGCGCACCUGCGUGGCCGCGCCCCUCCAGCGCUCCCUCCCCCCGGGACCCGAGGCGGGGGGCGAGCGGCCGAGGCACCCCCCGGUGGGGCUGCCGGGCUCUGGUUUCGGGGUGCGGGGCUGGCGGGCGUGCGCGGGUCCCCGGCCGUUGGACCCUCCGGCGGCAUGGCGGGGCUGAGGAGCCGAGCCGCCGGGCGGAGCAGCGGGAGUGCCGGCGACAAGGAUGUAGUUUUGGGUGAAAAGUGUGGAGAUCUAGAUCUCAGAAAUGAUUCAGAUAUUCCAGAAGUGCCCCCAUCAACAGACAGCACUCCAGAAAUUCUCAAGAAAGCUCUGUCUGGCUUGUCUUCCAGGUAUGG